AGUUUUCCUCUGACAGAAGCAGUACACACAGAUGGAGGAGAGGAGAGAGAGGAGAACACACACCGGACACACACUGAACAGCAGCGUCCAGCAGAGCAUACAGUCUGAUGCAGGAGGUGUGGAGGAGGUGUUGAACCUCUCAGCACCAGGACGCACUGACUCUAAAUCAAACAGAAGCCAUUUUAAACACUGCCACACUUUUCUGAAGCAGUACACGCAGAUGGAGGAGAGGAGAGAGAAGAGGAGAACACACACCGGACACACACUGAACAGCAGCGUCCAGCAGAGCAGAGAGUCUGGUACAGGAGGUGUGGAGGUGUUAAACCUCCCGGCAUGAGGAGACACUGGCUCUAAAUCAAACGAGGUGUGGAAACCCUGCAGGAUUCACAUUAGGGUGUGAGGAAACUUGUGUUUGUGUUCUUCUGAACAUCUGUGAAU